AUUGAACGCUGGCGGCAUGCCUUACACAUGCAAGUCGAACGGUAACGCGGGGCAACCUGGCGACGAGUGGCGAACGGGUGAGUAAUGCACCGGAACGUGCCCAGAUGUGGGGGAUAACUGCUCGAAAGAGCAGCUAAUACCGCAUACGACCUGAGGGUGAAAGCGGGGGAUCGCAAGACCUCGCGCAAUUGGAGCGGCCGAUGUCGGAUUAGCUAGUUGGUGGGGUAAAGGCCCACCAAGGCGACGAUCCGUAGCUGGUCUGAGGUGACGACCAGCCACACUGGGAAUGAGACAAGGCCCAGACUCCUAAGGGAGGCAGCAGUGGGGAAUUUUGGACAAUGGGCGCAAGCCUGAUACAGCAAUGCCGCGUGAGUGAAGAAGGCCUUCGGGUUGUAAAGCUCUUUCAGACGGAAAGAAAUCUCCCAGGAUAAUACCGUGGGAGGAUGACGGUACCGUAAGAAGAAGCAACGGCUAACUACGUGCCAGCAGCCGCAGUAACAC
rnacentral:rRNA from 1 species